GACGAACGCUGGCGGCGUGCCUAAUACAUGCAAGUAGAACGCUGAAGAGAGGAGCUUGCUCUUCUUGGAUGAGUUGCGAACGGGUGAGUAACGCGUAGGUAACCUGCCUGGUAGCGGGGGAUAACUAUUGGAAACGAUAGCUAAUACCGCAUGAUAUUAAUUGUCGCAUGAUAAUUAAUUGAAAGAUGCAAUUGCAUCACUACCAGAUGGACCUGCGUUGUAUUAGCUAGUCGGUGAGGUAACGGCUCACCAAGGCGACGAUACAUAGCCGACCUGAGAGGGUGAUCGGCCACACUGGGACUGAGACACGGCCCAGACUCCUACGGGAGGCAGCAGUAGGGAAUCUUCGGCAAUGGGGGGAACCCUGACCGAGCAACGCCGCGUGAGUGAAGAAGGUUUUCGGAUCGUAAAGCUCUGUUGUAAGAGAAGAACGGGUGUGAGAGUGGAAAGUUCACACUGUGAC
rnacentral:rRNA from 1 species